CAAGUUUUGCUUACCGACGUAUUUGUUGUGGCGAAAUUGUUCCAGCAGAGGAGAUGUGUAGAAGGUGUUUCACAUUUCUACGCAUUGGAGUUUGCUUGGUGGUAGAGCUGACCUACCAAAUGGUACCAAUUGGUAGCUCUCUUUGUUUUCUUUAAUUUUCAGGUGGUUAGGAAAGAAGGUGUUGAGUAAAUCGAUCUUCUGAUAAUCACUAAAGCUUCAACAGAUCUAUUAUAUAUUGGAUUAACUUGUGAUUUCCGGUGAACUUCAAGAAUCCAGAAAGGAAACUGUUGCACGCCUAAUAGUUGCACAGAUGUCUCAGGAUCAAUUAGAUGAUGAGAUUGACCGACAUAUAUCAGAUGUUGUCCAAGCUUAUGUUGAGGGGAGACGAGAGAUGACGAGGGCAACAAAUAGGACAUACGGAUGAGGUGCACCCGACCAAUCAUGGAGGAUCAACUCCAACGAUAGCGCCUAUCACUGAUAACCGCAUUAAGAUCAAUGUAGAGCCAAAUGGAAGUGUCCUGUGGCCUCGAGAAGCCUCAAAGGAGUUCCGGGAUAUCUUCCGUUCAUCCAUCCAUCGUCAAGGCACUACUUGGAUGAAAGUUCCACUAAACAUCAAACAGUGGUAUGCAGAGGAAAUGAAGAAGCAUGUUACAUGGGACUCCACUAAUGAGAAGAAAGUUCUAUGUGUGUACAAAAAAAAGGCCCAAAAUGCAUACAACCAGUGGUUGCAUUGCAUCCGGCAUGGAAAAGACAAAAAGACCGACGAAGUUCUCAACCCGGAGGUCUUGGCUGAAUGGAGAAGGGUUUGGAGCUCUAAUGAUGCCAAAAAGAAAUCGGAGAUUGCAAAGAAAAAUAGGCGGUGGGGUCUUCCAGAUAUUAGACCUGAGGCUACGCAUACAUGAGGGUCUCGGUCGUCUUAUGAGAUGGCCAAGAAGAUGGGAUUGAAUAUAACUGAAAUGUAUACUUGGGCCCAUACGAAGAAACACAACCGGAUUGAAUAUGUAAAUCCGAAAGCAUCUAAGAUUGUUGAGGAUUUGGAUGCCAUUGUGGGGGGUCUUGACAUAGCAAGGUACUACCGGGGUUGAUAGGGUGUUUCUAAAAUUGGUUCCAUGGGAUAAAAAAAUCGGAUAUUCGGGCUCGGGUCUUUAGCGAGUACAGUGCCCAUUAAUCGAUCGUCUUUCAUGAGCGACGCGUAUUCUUCGGCCAAUGUAGACAUUGAUCAGCGCCUCCAACAAAUGGAAACUAAAUUCAAUGAUCGACUUCAGAAUAUUGAUGAUUAUGUUCACCAUGUGGAUGAUCGGGUGGAGAGUAUUGAACAAAUCCACCAAACCAUCAUCAAUCAAAACCUCAGCAUUAUGAAGGAGCUCCGUAGGUUACGAGCAUACUUCAACCGCCGUGGCCCUAACGGUGAUGCAGGUGCUCCUAUCACAUGAUGAUGUUGUGGCUGCUUGUGAGAUUCUCAACAGUAAUGUUGUGGAGGUGCAGUGCCAGGGGUUGGUUCCCUCGAUUUCAGUGGACAACACCUCAGGUUGCUAGAUGUACUGGUACCUGCAUCAGAAUCAGAUGGCAAAUAGGCGUUGCUCUUAUCGGUGAUUGAUGCAUUAGCUUGUUCGUUGCUCGCAACUGCCGUGUACGUUCAAUCCGACGCUGCAUGGGGCUUGGCAGUGUGGCACGUGAUUUUAUGAUGAUUAACUUUUGUUUAGGAUUGAUGCUGACCUCAUUUCCGUUGGUUGA